CUGGCGGGGCAGCGGGGCAAUGAGCCCGCUGUGCCCGGCUCGGCUCGGCUCGGGCCGGGGGCAGCGCGGGCUGAGCCGGGCUCGGUGUCCCUGUGCAGAGAGACAACUGGGCCGUGGAGGAAGUGAUCCGGAUCCCGGCCAAGGACGUGAGGGGCUGGAUCAUGCCCACCAUGCCAGCCUUCAUCGCCGACCUCGUCAUCAGCCCGGACGACCGGUUCCUGUACGUGAGCAAUUGGUGGCACGGGGACAUCCGGCAGUACGAGCUGGCCAGGAACUGCAAGCCCCGGCUGGUGGGGCAGGUGUUCGUGGGCGGCAGCAUCCUGCGAGAGGGCCCCGUGACCGUGUGCAGGGACGAGGAGCUCAAGGGCCAGCCCGAGCCGCUGG